GGGGACGAAAUUGGCUUCGACGGGGGUCGAGGGAGUAUAGAUGGCAUACCGAGGUUCCGGUACCUCGCUAAACUUCCGGAAAACCAAAAUAAACGCAGACAAUUAUGCGUAUGCAAUGGCUGCCUAAUUAGGCGACCCGCUCGGUCAAGCUGAACCCAUCCAGGUUGAUUUAGGGCGUCGAUUAAAGGUGGGUUAGCGCUUUCUUUCACCCGAGGAGAAAGGGCGAAAAUUUUCGGGUUGGCCUUGUGCGACUUUUGUCUGUCGUAGGCGUUCAAGGCGAGAUUAAACGACAGACUAUGUAUGUAGAUGUCUAUAGUUCCGGGCUUUCGGACGCGGGUUCAACUCCCGCCGUCUCCAUCC
rnacentral:tmRNA from 1 species